AUUGAACGCUGGCGGCAGGCUUAACACAUGCAAGUCGAGCGGAGCUGCGGACGGGUGCGUAAUGCCUAGGACUCUGCCUGGUCGUGGGGGAUAACGUCCGGAAACGGGCGCUGAUACCGAAUACUUUCACAUGAGCCUAGGUCGGAUUAGCUAGUUGGAGGGGUAAAGGCCUACCAAGGCGACGAUUCGUAACUGGUCUGAGAGGAGGAUCAGUAACACUGGAACUGAGACACGGUCCAGACUCCUACGGGAGGCAGCAGUGGGGAAUAUUGGACAAUGGGCGAAAGCCUGAGCCAGCCAUGCCGCGUGUGUGAAGAAGGACUUCGGAUUGUAAAGCACUUUAAGUUGGGAGGCGUUACCAACAGAAAAAGCACCGGCUAACUUCGUGCCAGCAGCCGCGGUAAUUC
rnacentral:rRNA from 1 species